rnacentral:lncRNA from 1 species
GAGCUGCCUCCCUAGGUGGGGUUAAGGUCUCCCCUGACGGCUGGGCUCACAGAGCCCACCCCCACCCUGGACUCUCUUCUGACCCCCGUGGGCUCCCUGGUGUGAGGCCUUGGCGCACCCCUUCGUUUCCACCUGGGGCGCUGCGUGUCUCCAGGAUGAGCCCCUGGCCUUCAGCUUUUCUCAGGGCUGAGACACGCGCCCCUCACUGGGCAGUUAGUGCUGAGUCUUUGUGUGGCGGGGAGGCUUUCGGAGCCCGUCUGUGGCCACACUGUUUAGUAGGGUCUUCCUGUGGAAGCACAGC